rnacentral:lncRNA from 1 species
UGAGACUCAGCUUAAUAAAUAAACCACAUCAUCGAAUCAUCCCUGCACUACGGGCCAAGGAUAUUCAUGUAAUCAUCAAUGGUCAUGAUUAUACCGAAUAAUCCCUGGUCAUAAUCAUAUCAACAACUGUUCAUCAAUGCAUUACGGGCCAAUGAGGACUUUUACCACAUCAUUUGUAACAUUACGGGUCAUGAUUAUACCGAAUGAUCCCUUGUUAUAAUCAUACCAAUCAACAAUUC